rnacentral:rRNA from 1 species
UACGUAGGGGGCAAGCGUUUGUCCGGAUUUAUUGGGCGUAAAGAGCGUGUAGGCGGCUGGGUAGGUCCGCUGUGAAAACUCGAGGCUUAACCUCGAGACGUCGGUGGAAACCAUCCAGCUAGAGUCCGGAAGAGGGAGAGUGGAAUUCCUGGUGUAGCGGUGAAAUGCGCAGAUAUCAGGAAGAACACCCGUGGCGAAAGCGGCUCUCUGGGACGGUACUGACGCUGAGACGCGAAAAGCGUGGGGGAGCGAACAGG